CAGCGCCACGGUAAUACGGAGGGUGCAAGCGUUAAUCGGAAUUACUGGGCGUAAAGCGCACGCAGGCGGUCUGACAAGUCAGAUGUGAAAUCCCCGGGCUUAACCUGGGAACUGCAUUUGAAACUGUCAGGCUGGAGUCUUGUAGAGGGGGGUAGAAUUCCAGGUGUAGCGGUGAAAUGCGUAGAGAUCUGGAGGAAUACCGGUGGCGAAGGCGGCCCCCUGGACAAAGACUGACGCUCAGGUGCGAAAGCGUGGGGAGCAAACAGGAUUAGAUACCCGGGUAGUCCCUGUCUCUUAUACC
rnacentral:rRNA from 1 species